rnacentral:tRNA from 1 species
GGGCGGUUAGCUCAGCUGGUCAGAGCGCCUCGCUUACAACGAGGAAGUCGGGGGUUCGAGCCCCUCACCGCCCA